GGUUACUCACUCCGCUCUCUGUU
rnacentral:siRNA from 1 species